rnacentral:rRNA from 1 species
AACGAACGCUGGCGGCAUGCCUAGCACAUGCAAGUCGAACGAGACCUUCGGGUCUAGUGGCGCACGGGUGCGUAACGCGUGGGAACCUGCCCUUAGGUUCGGAAUAACUCCCCGAAAGGGGUGCUAAUACCGGGUAAUGUCUUCGGACCAAAGAUUUAUCGCCUUUGGAUGGGCCCGCGUUGGAUUAGCUAGUUGGUAGGGUAAAAGCCUACCAAGGCGACGAUCCAUAGCUGGUCUGAGAGGAUGAUCAGCCACACUGGGACUGAGACACGGCCCAGACUCCUACGGGAGGCGGCAGUGGGGAAUAUUGGACAAUGGGCGAAAGCCUGAUCCAGCAAUGCCGCGUGAGUGAUGAAGGCCUUAGGGUUGUAAAGCUCUUCUACCCGGGAUGAUAAUGACAGUACCGGGAGAAUAAGCUCCGGCUAACUCCGUG